GCCCUCAUAGCUCAAUGGAUAGAGCAACUCCGUCCUAAGGAGAAGAUCCGCGUUCGAAUCGCGGUGAGGGUA
rnacentral:tRNA from 1 species